rnacentral:rRNA from 1 species
GAUCCUGGCUCAGAUUGAACGCUGGCGGCAUGCUUUACACAUGCAAGUCGAACGGCAGCGGGGACUUCGGUCCGCCGGCGAGUGGCGAACGGGUGAGUAAUGCAUCGGAACGUGCCUAUCAGUGGGGGAUAACGCUUCGAAAGGAGUGCUAAUACCGCAUAUUCUCUGAGGAGGAAAGCAGGGGACCUUAGGGCCUUGCGCUGAUAGAGCGGCCGAUGUCGGAUUAGCUAGUUGGUGAGGUAAAGGCUCACCAAGGCGACGAUCCGUAGCGGGUCUGAGAGGAUGAUCCGCCACACUGGGACUGAGACACGGCCCAGACUCCUACGGGAGGCAGCAGUGGGGAAUUUUGGACAAUGGGCGAAAGCCUGAUCCAGCCAUGCCGCGUGAGUGAAGAAGGCCUUCGGGUUGUAAAGCUCUUUUGUCCGGGAGGAAAUCCUGGCCUCUAAUACAGGUCGGGGAUGACAGUACUGGAAGAAUAA